rnacentral:rRNA from 1 species
UACGUAGGGGGCAAGCGUUGUCCGGAUUUACUGGGCGUAAAGAGCGUGUAGGCGGCCAAACAGGUCCGUUGUGAAAACUGGAGGCUCAACUUCCAGACGUCGACGGAAACCGUGUGGCUAGAGUCCGGAAGAGGAGAAUGGAAUUCCUGGUGUAGCGGUGAAAUGCGCAGAUAUCAGGAAGAACACCCGUGGCGAAGGCGGCCUGCUGGGCCGAUCCUGACGCUGGAGGCGCGAAGGCGUGGGGAGCGAAACGGG